rnacentral:rRNA from 1 species
AAGGCGUAGACGAUGGAUAUCCGGUCAACAUUCCGGAACUAUUUAGUAGGAGCGAUGGGGCAACGCAGGGUGGUAGACCAGCCUACGAUUGGAUGUAGGUGGAAAUGUGUAGGUGAUGACGUCCGUAGGAAAAUCCGCGGACUGAGCCGAGGCAUGAGUACGAGUCCAUGAGACGGAAGUGGUUGAACCUUGCUGCCAAGAAAAACCUCUAAGUGAUGAAAUCUAAGUACCCGUACCGCAAACCGACACUGGUAGAUAGGUAGAGAAUACCAAGACGAGCGAGAGAACUUUCGUUAAGGAACUCGGCAAAUUAACCCCGUAACUUCGGGAGAAGGGGUGCCCUUCAUCGUGAAAGUAUUACUACUGGAGCGUAGAAGGGUCGCAGUGAACAGGCUCUGGUGACUGGUUACCAAAACCACAGGUCUCUGCUAAGUCGUAAGACGAUGUAUAGGGGCUGACGCCUGCCCAGUGCCGGAAGGUUAAAGGGAAGAGUUAGCUGGUCUUCGGAUCAGCGAAGCUUAGAACUCAAGCCCCGGUGAACGGCGGCCGUAACUAUAACGGUCCUAAGGUAGCGAAAUUCCUUGUCGGGUAAGUUCCGACCCGCACGAAUGGCGUAACAAUCGGAGCACUGUCUCAACGAAAGACUCGGUGAAAUUGAAGUACGCGUAAAGAUGCGCGUUACCCGCAGCAGGACAAAAAGACCCCGUGGAGCUUUACUGUAAGCUGCCAUUGUGUUUGGACAUAGUUUGUGCAGGAUAGGUGGGAGGCUUUGAAGCCGGAGCGCUAGCUUCGGUGGAGCCGCCACUGGAAUACCACCCUUUCUAUGUUUAGGCCCUAACUCUAAUCCGUUAUCCGGAUUGAGGACAGUGUCAGCCGGGCAGUUUGACUGGGGCGGUCGCCUCCGAAAGAGUAACGGAGGCGCCCAAAGGUUCCCUCAGGUUGAAUGGAAACCAACCAUAGAGUGUAAAAGCAUAAGGGAGCUUGACUGCAAGACAUACACGUCGAGCAGGGACGAAAGUCGGGUUUAGUGAUCCCAUGAUACCGUGUGGAAGGGUCAUGGCUUACCGGAUAAAAGCUACCCCGGGGAUAACAGGCUAGUCUGGUCCAAGAGUUCACAUCGACGACCAGGCUCGGCACCUCGAUGUCGGCUCAUCGCAUCCUGGGGCUGGAUAAGGUCCCAAGGGUUGGGCUGUUCGCCCAUUAAAGCGGUACGCGAGCUGGGUUCAGACCGUCGUGAGACAGGUCGGUCUCUAUCCGCUGUGGGCGUAAGGAAUUUGAGAGGAUCUGCUCCUAGUACGAGAGGACCGGAGUGGACAGACCUCUGGUGUGUCAGUUGUUCCGCCAGGAGCAUAGCUGAGUAGCUACGUCUGGCAAAGAUAACCGCUGAAAGCAUCUAAGCGGGAAACUUGCCUCAAGAUUAGAUUCCUCAUCCCGUUAAGGGAGUAAGACCGCAAGAAGACUACUUGCUUGAUAGGCGGCAUGUGUAAGCACAGCAAUGUGUUCAGCU